rnacentral:tRNA from 1 species
UAUUAUCUUGGCAGAAGAAUGCACUAGAUUUAGGAUCUAAUCAUAUAGUUUAUUACUAUAGAUAAUAG